rnacentral:rRNA from 1 species
CACGGGGGGAGCAAGCGUUGUUCGGAUUCCUUGGGCGUAAAGGGUGCGUUGGUGGCGCUGUAAGUUGGGUGUGAAAUUUCGGAGCUUAACUCCGAAACUGCAUUCGAUACUGCGGUGCUUGAGGACUGGAGAGGAGACUGGAAUUCAUGGUGUAGCAGUGAAAUGCGUAGAGAUCAUGAGGAAGACCAGUGGCGAAGGCGGGUCUCUGGACAGUUCCUGACACUGAGGCACGAAGGCCAGGGGAGCAAACGGG